rnacentral:ncRNA from 1 species
GAAUUUGAUUGUUUAAUUGAAACAAAGCAUUGCGAUGAUCACUACAAAUGCUCACACAAUAUGAUUAUUGCCCAGUGCUCUAAAUGUCAAAGUAAAUAAAUUCAAUUAAACAUGAAUAAAUGGUAGAAGUAACUAUGACUCUCUUAAGAUAGCAAAAUGUCUUAUCAUCUAGCGAAGGAAAGAGCAAAAACAACAAUUC